GAGUGGGUACACACGGGAACGGAAUCAGUCAUCACUCAUCAGUUCACUUCGACAAGUCUACGGAACUCCUGCGUGCUCGUCAAUGCCGAAUACAAUUUUAUUUCAGUGUAAUGCACGUCUUGUGUUACAGUCCGGGUUUUUAAGACGAAAAAGUGCCGUGUCGUGUUACAGUCCGGGUUUUUAAGUCGAAAUAGUGCCGUGUCGUGUGUAUCGAUUUUUAAAUUUCAAAAAUUUAAAAUGAAUUUAUUGCGCACCUACCGUAAUCCAGUUCGCGCGCGAUGAUGAAUAUUGAGGAAAAUAUGUGUGUUCAAUAUUUGGGUACCAACAACAUUGCUGGAAAAGAAAGGAGCGGUGAAAAUGGAGCUUACAAAAACGACGAGAAAAGAAAGUAUAAAGGAAGUUUUGGUUAGCAAAAA
rnacentral:lncRNA from 1 species